UUUGGUAGAGGAGCAUUCUUAAAGGAACGAAGCAGUACCGAAAGGAGCUGUGGACUUUUAAGAAGAGAGAAUGCCGGAAUGAGUAGCGAGAGUAAGGUGAGAAUCCUUACGGCCGAAUAUCCAAGGUUUCCAGGGUAAAGCUGAUCUGCCCUGGGGAAGUCGGGACCUAAGGCGAGGCCGAGAGGCGUAGCCGAUGGACAACAGGUUGAGAUUCCUGUACUACAGUAUGACAGAACUGUGGGGACGCAGAAGGAGAGCACUACCUGGAAUGGAAUCCAGGGGCAAGCACAGGAGGGGUACGGCUGGAAAAACCGCCGUGCAACCCAAAGGUGUGACGCAUACCGAACUAAAGUAGGGAAAUGUGUGAGCCGGCUGCCGAGAAAAGCCGCUAUUGUUUGUACUGUACCCGUACCGUAAACCGACACAGGUGGAUGAGGAGAGAAUCCUAAGGCCGACGGAAGAAGCAUUGCUAAGGAACUCGGCAAAAUGACCCUGUAACUUCGGGAGAAAGGGUGCCUCGAAAGAGGCCGCAGAGAAUAGGCCCAGGCAACUGUUUAGCAAAAACACAGGUCUAUGCAAAACCGCAAGGUGAAGUAUAUGGGCUGACGCCUGCCCGGUGCUGGAAGGUUAAGGGGAGAUGUCAGGAGACGAAGCAUCGAACUUAAGCCCCAGUAAACGGCGGCCGUAACUAUAACGGUCCUAAGGUAGCGAAAUUCCUUGUCGGGUAAGUUCCGACCCGCACGAAAGGCGUAAUGAUUUGGGCGCUGUCUCGGCAAUGCAUCCGGUGAAAUUGAAGUGCCAGUGAAGAUGCUGGCUACCCGCGCCAGGACGGAAAGACCCCAUGGAGCUUUACUCCAGCUUGAUACUGGGAUUCGGUAUUGUAUGUACAGGAUAGGUGGGAGGCUGAGAAAUGGUGACGCCAGUCGCCAUGGAGCCGCUGUUGGGAUACCACCCUUGCAGUACUGGAUUUCUAACCAGCAGCCGUGAUCCGGCUGGGGGACAAUGUCAGGUGGGGAGUUUGACUGGGGCGGUCGCCUCCGAAAGGGUAUCGGAGGCGCUCAAAGGUUCCCUCAGAAUGGUCGGAAACCAUUCGAAGAGUGCAAAGGCAGAAGGGAGCUUGACUGCGACACCGACGGGUGGGGCAGGUACGAAAGUAGGACUUAGUGAUCCGGUGGUAUUAAGUGGGAAUGCCAUCGCUCAACGGAUAAAAGCUACCCUGGGAUAACAGGCUUAUCACUCCCAAGAGUUCACAUCGACGGAGUGGUUUGGCACCUCGAUGUCGGCUCAUCGCAUCCUGGGGCUGUAGUAGGUCCCAAGGGUUGGGCUGUUCGCCCAUUAAAGCGGUACGCGAGCUGGGUUCAGAACGUCGUGAGACAGUUCGGUCCCUAUCCGGCGUGGGCGUAGGAUAUUUGAGAGGAGCUGACCUUAGUACGAGAGGACCGGGUUGGACUGACCUCUGGUGCACCGGUUGUCAUGCCAAUGGCACAGCCGGGUAGCCAAGUCGGGAAGGGAUAAACGCUGAAGGCAUCUAAGCGUGAAGCCCCCCUCAAGAUGAGAUAUCCCCCGCAUAAGCGGUAAGACCCCUUGAAGACGACGAGGUAGAUAGGGCAGAGGUGGAAGUGCAGUAAUGUAUGGAGCUGACUGCUACUAAUAGGUCGAAGGCU
rnacentral:rRNA from 1 species